UACAGAGGUCUCAAGCGUUGUUCGGAUUCAUUGGGCGUAAAGGGUGUGUAGGUGGCGCCGUAAGUCGGGUGUGAAAUUUCGGAGCUUAACUCCGAAACUGCAUUCGAUACUGCGGUGCUUGAGGACUGGAGAGGAGACUGGAAUUCAUGGUGUAGCAGUGAAAUGCGUAGAGAUCAUGAGGAAGACCAGUGGCGAAGGCGGGUCUCUGGACAGUUCCUGACACUGAGGCGCGACAGCGUGGGGAGCAAACAGG
rnacentral:rRNA from 1 species